rnacentral:rRNA from 1 species
UUAAAUGAGGACUAGUAUGAAUGGCCCCACGAGGGCUGCACUGUCUCCUUUUUCYAAUCAAUGAAACUAAUCUCCCCGUGAAGAAGCGGGGAUAACCNUAUAAGACGAGAAGACCCUAUGGAGCUUAAAACAACUGAAACAUUUGCUUUUACCUUAACUGCCCCCGAGCUCUUUAUUUUACCUAAGCAUUUUUGUUUCUAGUUUUAGGUUGGGGUGACCACGGAGCAAAACUAAACCUCCACGAAGAAAUGAAUACUUUUUAAGCCACAAACUACUUUUUUAAGCAUCAACAAAUUGACCUUCAUUGACCCAAUAUAUUGAUCAACGAACCAAGUUACCCUAGGGAUAACAGCGCAAUCUACUUCAAGAGCUCAUAUCGACAAGUAGGUUUACGACCUCGAUGUUGGAUCAGGGG